AACGGCAGCAUAGGAGCUUGCUUCUGGUGGCGAGUGGCGAACGGGUGAGUAAUAUAUCGGAACGUACCCUAGAGUGGGGGAUAACGCAGCGAAAGCUGGGCUAAUACCGCAUACGAUCUAAGGAUGAAAGUGGGGGAUUCGCAAGGACCUCAUGCUCGUGGAGCGGCCGAUAUCUGAUUAGCUAGUUGGUGAGGUAAAGGCUCACCAAGGCAUCGAUCAGUAGCUGGUCUGAGAGGACGACCAGCCACACUGGAACUGAGACACGGUCCAGACUCCUACGGGAGGCAGCAGUGGGGAAUUUUGGACAAUGGGGGCAACCCUGAUCCAGCAAUGCCGCGUGAGUGAAGAAGGCCUUCGGGUUGUAAAGCUCUUUUGUCGGGGAAGAAACGGUUUUGGCU
rnacentral:rRNA from 1 species